CCUCGUGCCCCUUGCCAUUUUCCAGCCGGGCUCCCAAGAGGGUCGAGGCGGCAGGGAGAGGCGAGUCUUGCGGCUCACAAGAGCUCGGCCAGGCGGCCCCGCGGGGUGGUCGCGGCCAUGACAGCGGCUUCAGACGGCUCCCUUCCACGCCCUUCCCGCCGGAGAUGAGGGGAAGAUGUCUGUGUCAAGAUUCAAGGCCAAACUGAAGUUGCUGGCGUCUGUCUUCCACACGAAUCAGGAGGCUCAGCUGCGGCUCAUGCUCCACUGCAACAUGAGAUGGGACAACAGAAGAAGUGACUUCAGAGGAAGAAGAAGAAGAGGAGAUGGCUGAAGAUAAAGUACGACCCUUUUAAACUCUACCAAACUAAGAAAAAUUUCCCGGGAGAAGCGGCGUCGGCGGCUGGAGCAGAGGCAGCAGCCGGAGGAGCAGCCCAGGCGGUCGGGAGUGAUGGUGAAGAUGGCCGCGGC